UUCAUUGCAAUGUGGAAUCUGAAGGAAGCUGGACGCAAAUUCUCGAACUGACCAACAAAAACUACAUAUAAGGCUAAUUGUGACGGACGAAUCUGCAAUACAAGAUAAAGUCCGAUACUGUACGCCCCCCAUACAGUAAAUGCAGUUACAUGUGAAUAAGGUUAUCACU
rfam:Bacillus thermoamylovorans genome assembly, strain 1A1, contig: A1A_CC10